ACAGACGUAAGUCCAGUUUCUAAUUUCCACAGCAUUAGAUACGGUGUAUCAAUGACUUGACAUCCGAAAUCCAUCUUUUCUUCUUGUUUUGUGCAGUUCUGGACUGGCUUCAUAAAGUUCUAGAUGCUGGGAAAGGGAUUGCGAAUGCUGUCUGCAACUCAGUUCAUACUUUUUGAAAGGACUGGCUCAGAUACACAGCGCCACCUACUGCACACUCCUCAAAUGAAAGGAUUUGCUGUUGCAACAUUCAAAAUAUACAUUGAAAUGUUUAUUCUUUUGCUAAAUAAAUGUUAUCAUUUAAAAGUCA